GGGCGGGGCGAGGUCGCUCGGAGCCGCCUACGCCGGAUGCACAGCCGGCCUUCUUCGCGCCCACGUACCCACGUGAGCGCCCAGCCGGCGACAUUCUUACUCCCACUCCUCCUUCCCCUCUGAGCGGAGAGCGGAGUUUCACAACCACGCACAGGUACACAAAGACACAGAGAAGCACACCGACGGGCACACGCGCCUAAACAACUACCCGGUCGCCUGCUGCCCACACUCGGGCUUCGCGGUGCUAUACGUGUGAAUGUUAGGAGUGAGCCAGGAAAAGUUGGGAGACUGGGGUGCGCGGCUCCUCUCGUGGGUGCUUCUGACUCCCGUAGAGUGUGCACUUAGGACAGAUCUGUGAACGUGGAGCUCUGCAGGAAUCCCUCACAGAUCCUCGCACUCUUCCCAAACCACGUCGAAGUUCGGGGAACAGAAAUGGGCGGGGUUUGCCAUAACCUGCUGCUUAGACGCGCGUCUAUUAGUCGCGCUGGGUUGUUAGUGCUUAGGUCAGGCAAGGAUGGGAGGGGUAUCCUGCCUUCUUCCGCUAGUAGCAUCCUAUUUGCUGAGAAUGGGGACCUACCUCUGGGGAAUUCUGUGUGGCAACUUUGGGAGGAGGAUACCCCUUCUAGGGACGUCUGUGAAGGAAGAGAAACAAUAUCCUGGGUCUCAAUUUUCCAAAAACAGAGGAAAAGAUUGUGAAGAAAGUGGGUGGAAGAGGAGUGCGGAUAUUGCUAACCAGAAGGAUUGUCAUUCCUAGGCAGGAGUAGAUUUUCAUCUAGCAGAUUGCACUGCUCACCGCACCCACCCCUACCCCCCAACAAGUUUUCACCAGGCCAAAUACAGCAAGAUUUGGCUCAAAUGUCACCUGCCUGGUCCCUCGCCUUCCUGCACCUCCGCCAGGAAGAAUUAAUUUCUUCCAUCCUUCAGUAGCCUCAUGGCUCUUGGUACGCAUUUCGACUAUAGUUGCUGGUUUCAUCUUCAGCCUGGGGUCUUUCCUGGUCUGGUAUCUGGUGGACCCUCUGAAGUGACUGAGUUGAUGAUGCUGUUUCCAGGCUGGAGCAGCUUUGAAAAGGGUAAUUGACACAGAUUUUACUCCAGAGGAGGCUGAACCUGGGCAGAACUGUUCAAGUGGAGACCAUUGUUUUCCAUGUCUCCAUGCUUUUUUUUUUUUUUUUUAAUUUUGGAAAUGUUUUUUUAUUUUUAUUUUAUUUUUUGCUUUUUAAGGGCACACCCGAGAGAUAUGGAGGUUCUCAGACUAGGGGUCUAAUCGGAGCUACAGCUGUCGGUCUACACCACAGCCACAGCAACGCAGGAUCCGAGCCACAUCUGUGACUGACCUACACCACAUCUCACAGCAGUGCCGGAUCCUUAGCCCACUGAGCGAGGCAGGGAUCGAACCCACAACCUCAUGGUUCCCAGUCGGAUUCGUUUGUGCUGCGCCACGAUGGAAACUCCCUGAAAGUGUUUUUUAUUAAAGUAUAGUUGAUUUACAAUGUUCUGUCAUCCUGCCUUCUUAAAGUUUCCAGCGAGUCUCACAAGUCUGACUUCUUGGCCUUCUAAAAUGUCUACAAUUUUGGUAAAUUAAUUCAUACCCAGUUGCUAGAGGGAAAAGUCUGAAAUCCUCUCUGGUAACAGAAAAAUAUGAAUAUAAAUUAAUGAUCAUCCUUUUUUACUCUUUCAUUAACAUAUUAGAAUUGUAGUCUAAGGAGUAUUGCUCUUCAAUUUAGUAAUUUUACCAGAGAUGCUUCACCUCCCAAAAGACAAAUAAUCCUAACUUCUACCUUUAAGGAACUCGUAGACUAAUAGGGGAGAUAAAUACAUAUACAAUUACAGUGCAGUGCAAAAAUGGGGAUAGAGCCAAUGACAGAAGUGUAGGGGGGGCAAGGGAUGUCUUUCCCUUGGGGUUGUGAAGGACUGGUUUAUACAGGCAUCCAAAGGAGGUGAUGAUGCAGCCUAGGAAUUUGAAAUAUAAAUAGAUUUCCAGGAGGAAGGGUCAGUCAAGUCAGAGGAGAAUUUAAACUUACAUGGGAUGUUCCCAUUGUGGCACAGCAGAAAUGAAUCCAACUAGGAACCAUGAUGUUUCGGGUUCAAUCCCUGGCUUCGCUCAGUGGGUUUAGGAUCCAGUGUUGCCAUGAACUGUGGUGUAGGUAGCGGACACGGCUUGGAUCUGGCAUUGCUGUGGCUGUGGCGUAGGUCGGCAGCAACAGCUCCAAUUAGACCCCUAGCUUAGGAACCUCCAUGUGCCGUGGGUGCAGCCCUAAAAAAAAAGACAAAAAGACAAAAAAUAAAUAAAUAAAUAAAAAUAAACUUAUGUGGAAGUAUGAACCAAUGCUAUAUUUGAGAAAUUAGAAAUUGUUUGCUAUUGCUGGAUAGGGGGUGCUGGUUGUUAAAAAGGAGCUCAGGGAGGUUUACAAGUCCAUUUCAUUAAAGAUUUUAGAGACCAGUGCUUCUCAAACUACAGUAAAGGACCAAUUUUUUUUUUUUUUUUUUUUUUGCUUUUUGCUUUUUAGGGCUGCACCCAAGGCAUAUGGAGGUUCCCAGCCGAGGGUCUAAUAAGAGCUACAUCUGGCGGC
rnacentral:lncRNA from 1 species